rnacentral:rRNA from 2 species
AGACCCGAAACCCGGUGAUCUAGCCAUGGGCAGGUUGAAGGUUGGGUAACACUAACUGGAGGACCGAACCGACUAAUGUUGAAAAAUUAGCGGAUGACCUGUGGCUGGGGGUGAAAGGCCAAUCAAACCGGGAGAUAGCUGGUUCUCCCCGAAAGCUAUUUAGGUAGCGCCUCGUGAAUUCAUCUCCGGGGGUAGAGCACUGUUUCGGCUAGGGGGCCAUCCCGGCUUACCAACCCGAUGCAAACUGCGAAUACCGGAGAAUGUUAUCACGGGAGACACACGGCGGGUGCUAACGUCCGUCGUGAAGAGGGAAACAACCCAGACCGCCAGCUAAGGUCCCAAAGUCAUGGUUAAGUGGGAAACGAUGUGGGAAGGCCCAGACAGCCAGGAUGUUGGCUUAGAAGCAGCCAUCAUUUAAAGAAAGCGUAAUAGCUCACUGGUCGAGUCGGCCUGCGCGGAAGAUGUAACGGGGCUAAACCAUGCACCGAAGCUGCGGCAGCGAACGUAUCACCCAAGACAACUUUACGGAGUUGACGAUUGACGGAGCGAAGCGACGUCAAAGCGUUCAUUAAAGUCGAGUUGGCUUAGGGAUACGUUCGUUGGGUAGGGGAGCGUUCUGUAAGCCUGUGAAGGUGUGUCGUGAGGCAUGCUGGAGGUAUCAGAAGUGCGAAUGCUGACAUAAGUAACGAUAAAGCGGGUGAAAAGCCCGCUCGCCGGAAGACCAAGGGUUCCUGUCCAACGUUAAUCGGGGCAGGGUGAGUCGACCCCUAAGGCGAGGCCGAAAGGCGUAGUCGAUGGGAAACGGGUUAAUAUUCCCGUACUUGGUGUUACUGCGAAGGGGGGACGGAGAAGGCUAUGUUGGCCGGGCGACGGUUGUCCCGGUUUAAGCGUGUAGGUGUGUGUUCCAGGUAAAUCCGGUUCACUUUAACACUGAGGCGUGACGACGAGGCACUACGGUGCUGAAGCAACAAAUGCCCUGCUUCCAGGAAAAGCCUCUAAGCAUCAGGUAACACGAAAUCGUACCCCAAACCGACACAGGUGGUCAGGUAGAGAAUACCAAGGCGCUUGAGAGAACUCGGGUGAAGGAACUAGGCAAAAUGGUGCCGUAACUUCGGGAGAAGGCACGCUGACACGUAGGUGAAGUGAUUUACUCAUGGAGCUGAAGUCAGUCGAAGAUACCAGCUGGCUGCAACUGUUUAUUAAAAACACAGCACUGUGCAAACACGAAAGUGGACGUAUACGGUGUGACGCCUGCCCGGUGCCGGAAGGUUAAUUGAUGGGGUCAGCGUAAGCGAAGCUCCUGAUCGAAGCCCCGGUAAACGGCGGCCGUAACUAUAACGGUCCUAAGGUAGCGAAAUUCCUUGUCGGGUAAGUUCCGACCUGCACGAAUGGCGUAAUGAUGGCCAGGCUGUCUCCACCCGAGACUCAGUGAAAUUGAACUCGCUGUGAAGAUGCAGUGUACCCGCGGCAAGACGGAAAGACCCCGUGAACCUUUACUAUAGCUUGACACUGAACAUUGAGCCUUGAUGUGUAGGAUAGGUGGGAGGCUUUGAAGUGUGGACGCCAGUCUGCAUGGAGCCGACCUUGAAAUACCACCCUUUAAUGUUUGAUGUUCUAACGUGGACCCGUAAUCCGGGUUGCGGACAGUGUCUGGUGGGUAGUUUGACUGGGGCGGUCUCCUCCUAAAGAGUAACGGAGGAGCACGAAGGUUGGCUAAUCCUGGUCGGACAUCAGGAGGUUAGUGCAAUGGCAUAAGCCAGCUUGACUGCGAGCGUGACGGCGCGAGCAGGUGCGAAAGCAGGUCAUAGUGAUCCGGUGGUUCUGAAUGGAAGGGCCAUCGCUCAACGGAUAAAAGGUACUCCGGGGAUAACAGGCUGAUACCGCCCAAGAGUUCAUAUCGACGGCGGUGUUUGGCACCUCGAUGUCGGCUCAUCACAUCCUGGGGCUGAAGUAGGUCCCAAGGGUAUGGCUGUUCGCCAUUUAAAGUGGUACGCGAGCUGGGUUUAGAACGUCGUGAGACAGUUCGGUCCCUAUCUGCCGUGGGCGCUGGAGAACUGAGGGGGGCUGCUCCUAGUACGAGAGGACCGGAGUGGACGCAUCACUGGUGUUCGGGUUGUCAUGCCAAUGGCACUGCCCGGUAGCUAAAUGCGGAAGAGAUAAGUGCUGAAAGCAUCUAAGCACGAAACUUGCCCCGAGAUGAGUUCUCCCUGAGACUUAGAGUCUCCUGAAGGAACGUUGAAGACGACGACGUU